GUGAAUCAUCGAAUUUUUGAACGCAAAUUGCACUCCCUGGUAUUCCGGGGAGUAUGCCUGUUUGAGGGUCGGUAGAAUCAAAAAUCGAGGCGUCGCUCUUUUUUUUAAGGGUGAUCGCGUCGGAGUUGCGCCGUCUUUCAAAUGUUAAUGCAUGUCAAAGUGGCAUGAAAUUCAUCCAUCCGGUUCGAUUAAAGCGUAUUUAAGAUCAAUUUUGAUUAAGCAAGCGCG
rnacentral:misc_RNA from 1 species